rnacentral:tRNA from 1 species
GCAGUGGUGGUUCAGUGGUAGAACUCUCACCUUCUGUGCAGAAGACCUGGUUCAAUUCCUGGCCGGUGUA